rnacentral:rRNA from 1 species
CCUACGGGAGGCAGCAGUAGGGAAUUUUUCACAAUGGGCGAAAGCCUGAUGGAGCAACGCCGCGUGCAGGAUGAAGGCCUUCGGGUUGUAAACUGCUUUUAUAAGCGAGAAAUAUGAUGGUAACUUAUGAAUAAGGAUCGGCUAACUACGUGCCAGCAGCCGCGGUCAUACGUAGGAUCCGAGCAUUAUCCGGAGUGACUGGGUGUAAAGAGUUGCGUAGGUGGCAUAAGAAGUAGCUAGUGAAAUCUGGUGGCGCAACCAUUCAGACUAUUAGCUAAACUGUUAAGCUCGAGACCGUUAGGGGUAACUGGAAUUUCUAGUGUAGGAGUGAAAUCCGUAGAUAUUAGAAGGAACACCAAUAGCGUAGGCAGGUUGCUGGGACGGUUCUGACACUAAGGCACGAAAGCGUAGGGAGCAAACGGGAUUAGAUACCCGUGUAGUC